CCUACGGGAGGCUGCAGUGGGGAAUAUUGGACAAUGGGGGCAACCCUGAUCCAGCCAUGCCGCGUGUGUGAAGAAGGCCCUCGGGUUGUAAAGCACUUUCAGUGAGGAAGAACGCCUGGUGGUUAAUACCCAUCAGGAAAGACAUCACUCACAGAAGAAGCACCGGCUAACUCCGUGCCAGCAGCCGCGGUAAUACGGAGGGUGCGAGCGUUAAUCGGAAUUACUGGGCGUAAAGCGCGCGUAGGUGGCUUGAUAAGCCGGUUGUGAAAGCCCCGGGCUCAACCUGGGAACGGCAUCCGGAACUGUCAAGCUAGAGUGCAGGAGAGGAAGGUAGAAUUCCCGGUGUAGCGGUGAAAUGCGUAGAGAUCGGGAGGAAUACCAGUGGCGAAGGCGGACUUCUGGACUGACACUGACACUGAGGUGCGAAAGCGUGGGUAGCAAACAGGAUUAGAUACCCUAGUAGUC
rnacentral:rRNA from 1 species